AAGUGGAGCAAUCCAUGAGUAAAGUGGCGACCGGGUGAGUAACACGUGACUAACCUACCCUAGAGUGGGGAAUAACCUCGGGAAACCGGGGCUAAUACCGCAUAACAUCACGAGGGGAAGAUCCUUGUGAUCAAAGGAGCAAUUCGCUCAAGGAGGGGGUCGCGGCUGAUUAGCUAGUUGGUGAGGUAACGGCCCACCAAGGCUAAGAUCAGUAUCCGGCCUGAGAGGGCGCACGGACACACUGGAACUGAAACACGGUCCAGACUCCUACGGGAGGCAGCAGUGGGGAAUUUUGCGCAAUGGGGGAAACCCUGACGCAGCAACGCCGCGUGGAGGAUGAAGUCCCUUGGG
rnacentral:rRNA from 1 species